rnacentral:miRNA from 1 species
CCUGUGAUAUACAUAUAUGUGUGUGUGCAUGUGUGUGUAUAUAUAUAUAUAGCAUAUGUGUAUAUAUAUACACACACACAUAU